UACGAAGGGGGCUAGCGUUGCUCGGAAUCACUGGGCGUAAAGCGCACGUAGGCGGAUUGCUAAGUCAGGGGGGAAAUCCUGGAGCUCAACUCCAGAACUGCCUUUGAUACUGGCGACCUUGAGUCCGGGAGAGGUGAGUGGAACUGCGAGUGUAGAGGUGAAAUCCGUAGAUAUUCGCAAGAACACCAGUGGCGAAGGCGGCUCACUGGCCCGGUACUGACGCUGAGGUGCGAAAGCGUGGGGAGCAAACAGG
rnacentral:rRNA from 1 species